rnacentral:rRNA from 1 species
GAUGAACGCUGGCGGCGUGCCUAAUACAUGCAAGUCGAGCGAACAGAUAAGGAGCUUGCUCCUUUGACGUUAGCGGCGGACGGGUGAGUAACACGUGGGUAACCUACCUAUAAGACUGGGAUAACUUCGGGAAACCGGAGCUAAUACCGGAUAACAUUUGGAACCGCAUGGUUCUAAAGUGAAAGAUGGUUUUGCUAUCACUUAUAGAUGGACCCGCGCCGUAUUAGCUAGUUGGUAAGGUAACGGCUUACCAAGGCGACGAUACGUAGCCGACCUGAGAGGGUGAUCGGCCACACUGGAACUGAGACACGGUCCAGACUCCUACGGGAGGCAGCAGUAGGGAAUCUUCCGCAAUGGGCGAAAGCCUGACGGAGCAACGCCGCGUGAGUGAUGAAGGGUUUCGGCUCGUAAAACUCUGUUAUUAGGGAAGAACAAACGUGUAAGUAACUGUGCACGUCUUGACGGUACCUAAUCAGAAAGCCACGGCUAACUACGUGCCAGCAGCCGCGGUAAUACGUAGGUGGCAAGCGUUAUCCGGAAUUAUUGGGCGUAAAGCGCGCGUAGGCGGUUUCUUAAGUCUGAUGUGAAAGCCCACGGCUCAACCGUGGAGGGUCAUUGGAAACUGGGAAACUUGAGUGCAGAAGAGGAAAGUGGAAUUCCAUGUGUAGCGGUGAAAUGCGCAGAGAUAUGGAGGAACACCAGUGGCGAAGGCGACUUUCUGGUCUGUAACUGACGCUGAUGUGCGAAAGCGUGGGGAUCAAACAGG